rnacentral:rRNA from 1 species
AGUUGUUGCAGUUAAAAAGCUCGUAGUUGAAUUUCGGGGUCAGCAGGUUGGUCGUGCCACUGGUAUGUACUGGCUUCGCUGAUUCCUCCCUCUUGUAGAACCGUAAUGCCAUUAAGUUGGUGUUGCGGGGAAACAGGACUGUUACUUUGAAAAAAUUAGAGUGUUUAAAGCAGGCUAACGCUUGAAUACAUUAGCAUGGAAUAAUGAAAUAGGACGAUCGAUCCUAUUUUGUUGGUUUCUAGGAUUGACGUAAUGAUUAAUAGGGAUAGUUGGGGGCAUUAGUAUUCAAUUGUCAGAGGUGAAAUUCUUGGAUUUAUUGAAGACUGACUACUGCGAAAGCAUUUGCCAAGGAUGUUUUCAUUAAUCAAGAACGAAAGUUAGGGGAUCGAAGACGAUCAGAUACCGUCGUAGUCUUAACCAUAAACUAUGCCGAC